rnacentral:rRNA from 1 species
AUUGAACGCUGGCGGCAGGCCUAACACAUGCAAGUCGAACGAGUGGCGGACGGGAGAGUAACGCGUGGUAACCUGCCUCAUAGCGGGGGAUAACUAUUGGAAACGAUAGCUAAUACCGCAUACUGUGAGAUGGACCUGCGUUGUAUUAGCUAGUUGGUGAGGUAAAGGCUCACCAAGGCGACGAGACAUAGCAGACCAGAGAGUGUGAUCGGCCACACUGGGACUGAGACACGGUCCAGACUCCUACGGGAGGCAGCAGUGGGGAAUAUUUGACAGUGGGCGAAAGCCUGAUCCAGCCAUGCCGCGUGUGUGAAGAAGGUCUUCGUAUUGUAAUGCACUUUCAGUUGGGAGGCGUUACCAACAGAAUAAGCACCGGCUAACUUCGUGCCAGCAGCCGCGGUAAUUC